ACAUGCAUGACAAAAAAUGAUUGAGGUUUUCAUUACAUACAUGUACUUGAAAAAUCAUUUUUAGGGAUAAUUCAAAUAAAAUUUAGAAUGGAAAUGUGAAAUGUGUCUACGGGACAACAAUCCGACCACAGAGCAGACAACAGCCGAAGGCCACCAAUGGGUCUUCAAUGCAGGGAGAACCUCCAGCACAUAGAGGUGUGUUUCAGCUGGCCCCCAAGCAAAAUGUGUAGUAGUUCAGUGAUAAAGUUAUAUUCUAGUUUAGAGUGUAAACAUAGCGGUUCAUUAUGUUGAUUACAAUGUAUCAUAUUGUUAUUAUAAGCGUUGAAUAUGACGUUUUAUAAACAAACAAGAGAAGCCGUUCACAG
rnacentral:lncRNA from 1 species